CCCAUCUCUUCCCACCGCCCGUCAGCAACACAGCUCUCCCUUUCUAGAAACAGGGUUUCCCCUCCAGGCUUGGAUUCUUAAAUCUAAAAAGAGCCUCUCACCUGAGGCCUUCACCUGAGAGCUGGAGCCUGUGCGAUGGAUUAUCUGGACAGGGACCCCAAUGAACAGGGCUCUGCUGGAGUGAGGAAGCUGACUGAGGGAAGAACCAGAAGGCUGCCAAAAUACAAUUGUGUGCCUUUAAAGGAAAUAACAACAAGAAUUAGGAGCGCCCUGGAGGCAAGGUCUGCUGCUGGGGAAACCAAACCACAGUAACUUCAGAAAUAUAUACUUGGAAUAUGUCAUGUAUUAAUGGGUAAAGACACCGUGGAUAUGAAGGAAAUCACCUAUGGGAGAAUAUUAAGAAGAGAAGAAGGGGCUGCUGGCUGUAGUGAAAUGUAUAAAAAGGAGAGUGUGAUCCUAGUUUCUGUCUCUAACUAUGAGUUACUUGUGAUUAACUUCAAAUAUUCUCUCCAUAAGAAGAGGCCCAGAAGAAGAAGAUGAGCUUCAGUUAUUCUAGCACAACUGCUGUGAUAUUUGUAAAUAUUCAAAACCUAUAAUAAAAUGUAUAAAAGGAAACUCCAUUUGAAAUGAUUUGAAAUCUCACAUGGAAAUCUAUUUUUUUUAAAUCAGAGCUUAGUAAGAGAAAAUAACAGAACAUUGUAAUAAUUGAAUUACAAAAACAACUGAAUUUUGGAAAAUUUAUUUUCUCUCAUGUGAUGUGUGUGUAUGUGUGUGUGUGUGUGUGUGUAUCUAUUUAGCAAUGGCGUUAUUCUAUCAAAUGGGAUUAGAUUCAUUUUUGACUCCUGCUAAGCACCCUGUCCCCCCAACCCCAAGAUUAUGAAAGCGGAAGGGAAGGGGGAGAUAGGAAAUAUGACUUAUUUAAACUGUAUAAAAAUGCUGAAAUAAAAUGAACAUUCAAAACUCAUGUGAUUGAAUUUAAUCUUUCUUUUGUUCAACACAUUCAC
rnacentral:lncRNA from 1 species